rnacentral:rRNA from 1 species
AUUGAACGCUGGCGGCAGGCUUAACACAUGCAAGUCGAACGGAGUGGCGGACGGGUGAGUAACUCGUAGGAACCUGCCUGGUAGCGGGGGAUAACUAUUGGAAACGAUAGCUAAUACCGCAUACUACCAGAUGGACCUGCGUUGUAUUAGCUAGUUGGUGGGGUAACGGCUCACCACGGCAACGAUACAUAGCCUACCUGAGAGGAUGAUCAGUCACACUGGAACUGAGACACGGCCCAGACUCCUACGGGAGGCAGCAGUGGGGAAUAUUGGACAAUGGACGAAAGCCUGAUCCAGCCAUGCCGCGUGUGUGAAGAAGGUCUUCGGAUUGUAAAGCACUUUAAGUUGGGAGGCGUUACCAACAGAAUAAGCACCGGCUAACUUCGUGCCAGCAGCCGCGGUAAUUC